rnacentral:rRNA from 1 species
AUACGAAGGGUGCAAGCGUUGUUCGGAUUUAUUGGGCGUAAAGCGCGCGCAGGCGGAUUGGUAAGUCAGGUGUGAAAUCUCGGGGCUUAACCCCGAAAUUGCGCCUGAAACUGUCGAUCUAGAAUCCUGGAGAGGGAAGGGGAAUUUCUCAUGUAGGGGUAAAAUCCGUAGAUAUGAGAAGGAACACCGGAGGCGAAGGCGCCUUCCUGGACAGGUAUUGACGCUGAGGCGCGAAAGCGUGGGGAGCAAACAGGAUUAGAUACCCUGGUAGUCCACGCCGUAAACGAUGAGAACUAGUUGUGGCAGGUAUUAACCCCUGCUGUGACGUAGCAAACGCGUUAAGUUCUCCGCCUGGGGAGUACGGUCGCAAGACUAAA